UACAGAGGUCCCAAGCGUUGUUCGGAUUCACUGGGCGUAAAGGGUGCGUAGGCGGUUGGGUAAGUCUGUCGUGAAAUCUCCGGGCUUAACUCGGAACGGUCAACUGAUACUGCUCGGCUAGAGUGCGGAAGGGGCAACUGGAAUUCUUGGUGUAGCGGUGAAAUGCGUAGAUAUCAAGAGGAACACCUGCGGCGAAGGCGGGUUGCUGGGCCGACACUGACGCUGAAGUGCGAAAGCUAGGGGAGCGAACGGG
rnacentral:rRNA from 1 species